CUUUUAUUUGCUAAUAAAUAUCUUAAUAAACAGGCUUACCCCAUCUGUAAGACCUGAUAAUGCCUCUUAGGAAAUCAUAGAAAAAUAAAAUACAAUAAUAAUCAAUAACUUGUACUUUGUACAAAAAUCUCAUUAUGUUGCUCAGCAGGUAGUUUUGCCAAACCCCAUAUUCUUUCUGCAAAGAGAUGGCAUAUGUGAUGCAAUUCACCUUAAAAACACUCUAAUGUUGAGAGCUGAGCAUUCUAUUACACUAUUAACUUGUAGGCAUGCCAGCACAUGAAAAUUUACAUGAAACAUCAUAGUAUCAUAGGAAUAGAAUCAUAAUAAUAAAGAAAAGAAGAUAACACCACUUUUCAGUAAAUAAUAACAACUUCACGUCUAAUGUAAAUUCCCUUUGGGACUGCAAAUCAGUAGGGUAAGCUUUUUAUUCCAUGGAUAUUCCUACAGUACCGUCCUAAACAGGCAAAACCAAAAUGCAGUGGGACAUGUAUGGGAGAUAUAUUAGGUGAAGGAAAGUAAUUCUGAGGAGUGAGGCAGUCCCAGGGGGAAGCAUCGACACUGGCUGUGCAAUGUUCAGUCUCCCAGAAUGAGCGGCUCCAGCGCCACAUGAGCUCAGACCGAUGGAGGUGGAACCCAGAGCCUCUGGUACUGCAGCACCAGGGCAGCUCUGCUGGGAGAUCGCUGCUGAAGACUGAGCCACAGGUAGUUGUCAUUAUUCAAACACGCCUUGGUUAAAGAAGCAAUGGCAAAACAAACCUUAGCAGGGGUCUUUAAAGAAAAGGUGUGUUUCAGACUACUGGUAAGGAUAUGAGAUCUGUGUUGAGGCCAUGGUUUGAUUUUGUAAAAUAAUUUGCGAGUAUUAUGAUUAUACCAUUGCUUUUGAAGCCAUCUACCUCUGAAGUUUUGACAUGGCUGCUUAAAUAUAUAAUCUAAAGUGUCUGUCAUCAAAUAUUUAUUCAUAUAUACACAUACAUUGAUACAUUUUAUGGCUAUGCUAGAACAGCAAACUAUGAAGAGCAGUCAUAUUUAGUUUUGUACAAUCUAAUUUCACAGAAGAGACAGAGAUUAAAACCCCUUUUAAUUCAGAUACAUUUAAAACCAACACACAGAAAUAGAUAGAGGCUAUCCUGAGAAAACAUACCAACCACAUUAUCUUCCAAAAGUAAAUCAAAGCUAAUGUUUGGAAGGUAGUAAAAUAUUGGUUUUAUAUUUUUUUUCUGAAAGUCGAAGUAGUUUGUUUUUUUAAAAAAAAGUGAUGACAAAAUUAAAACUGUUAAUUCCAACUAGAUCAAUGAAUGUUGCUUUGCUAGAAAAUAAGCUAUUGCCUUUCAGUAAACUGGGUUUCACAUGAUAUUCUACAGAUUUUUUUUUCUUGCUAAACUGCAGGUGCAAUCCUGAGAAGUGCAAAGAAGUUCCCAAAGUCAGUAGGAUUUAUACCACACCAGAGAAGAAUGAGCCCUUUUUACGUCUCUGGGUUUUCAGUCACGGCAGCGCUGUAUGUGAUGUAACUGAUACCACCAGAGAGUGUUGAUAUUGGCCUCAACAGCAGCAGAUGGAAGGCUCUAGGUUCAGCAAAAUGACUGGAUACAAUUAAGGCAUGAGAUUCAUCUGCCCAAGCACAGAUGCCUGAAUGGAUGAGCUAUCACUGAAUGCAGAGAAACAGGUCACUGCAUCCUGCAGCCCGUAACUUCCAGCAGCAGUGGGGCUGUACCGCUGCCCUCGGCUGGAGGAGGAUAUGGCCAGCCUGCUCC